rnacentral:lncRNA from 1 species
UGCGCUUUAGAUAGUGCACUUGGUUCGAAUUAUUCUGGCAAGAUUACUGGCAAUUCUGUCAAGAUUAUUACAAUUAAUUUAUUCAGUAUAUAAUCUAGUCAGAAAUAUAACAUUACAAAUAGUACAGAAUUACACCGAAAAUUUUACCAAGCAGGGAUGGAUAUCUUGUAUUACUGAUGGCGGGUUAUCUUAUAUGUAUGUAAAAUUACAAGUUUAUCCCUCUAAACCCCCAAACCCUUUUAAUACGUUAUUUUUAACAUUUUAAUUUAAAAUUUUAAAUUGUCAAAUUUUAAAAUUUUAAUUUUUAAUUUUUCACCCUGAAAUCAGAAUCGGAAUUUGUGAAUCAGUUUGUGGGUGUUUGGUACACGGGAGUCCAUCUCCGAUUCCGAUUCCCAAGUGGAAUGAAAAUUUUCCAAUCACCUCUUUUUUCAAUCCGGCCUAGGAGGCCGGAUUGAAAGUUGAAUCCGGACGGAAUGGAUAUUUAUUUGGAUUAAAUUUAUUUUUUCAACUUUUUUAAUUAAAAUAUGAGUUAAAAUUUAAAAAUUAAAUAUAUAAUUUUAAAUUUUAAUUUGAACUUAAAUUAAAAAUUAAAAUUUAAUCAAGUAUUUCAAAUCUAAUUUAUGAAUUUUAAUUUAUAUAAAGUUUUAUUCAAAUUUCAUUUCAAACUUAAAUU